CUGUCACUUAUAGAUGGAUCCGCGCUGCAUUAGCUAGUUGGUAAGGUAACGGCUUACCAAGGCAACGAUGCAUAGCCGACCUGAGAGGGUGAUCGGCCACACUGGAACUGAGACACGGUCCAGACUCCUACGGGAGGCAGCAGUAGGGAAUCUUCCGCAAUGGGCGAAAGCCUGACGGAGCAACGCCGCGUGAGUGAUGAAGGUCUUCGGAUCGUAAAACUCUGUUAUUAGGGAAGAACAUAUGUGUAAGUAACUGUGCACAUCUUGACGGUACCUAAUCAGAAAGCCACGGCUAACUACGUGCCAGCAGCCGCGGUAAUACGUAGGUGGCAAGCGUUAUCCGGAAUUAUUGGGCGUAAAGCGCGCGUAGGCGGUUUUUUAAGUCUGAUGUGAAAGCCCACGGCUCAACCGUGGAGGGUCAUUGGAAACUGGAAAACUUGAGUGCAGAAGAGGAAAGUGGAAUUCCAUGUGUAGCGGUGAAAUGCGCAGAGAUAUGGAGGAACACCAGUGGCGAAGGCGACUUUCUGGUCUGUAACUGACGCUGAUGUGCGAAAGCGUGGGGAUCAAACAGGAUUAGAUACCCUGGUAGUCCACGCCGUAAACGAUGAGUGCUAAGUGUUAGGGGGUUUCCGCCCCUUAGUGCUGCAGCUAACGCAUUAAGCACUCCGCCUGGGGAGUACGACCGCAAGGUUGAAACUCAAAGGAAUUGACGGGGACCCGCACAAGCGGUGGAGCAUGUGGUUUAAUUCGAAGCAACGCGAAGAACCUUACCAAAUCUUGACAUCCUUUGACAACUCUAGAGAUAGAGCCUUCCCCUUCGGGGGACAAAGUGACAGGUGGUGCAUGGUUGUCGUCAGCUCGUGUCGUGAGAUGUUGGGUUAAGUCCCGCAACGAGCGCAACCCUUAAGCUUAGUUGCCAUCAUUAAGUUGGGCACUCUAAGUUGACUGCCGGUGACAAACCGGAGGAAGGUGGGGAUGACGUCAAAUCAUCAUGCCCCUUAUGAUUUGGGCUACACACGUGCUACAAUGGACAAUACAAAGGGCAGCGAAACCGCGAGGUCAAGCAAAUCCCAUAAAGUUGUUCUCAGUUCGGAUUGUAGUCUGCAACUCGACUACAUGAAGCUGGAAUCGCUAGUAAUCGUAGAUCAGCAUGCUACGGUGAAUACGUUCCCGGGUCUUGUACACACCGCCCGUCACACCACGAGAGUUUGUAACACCCGAAGCCGGUGGAGUAACCUUUUAGGAGCUAGCCGUCGAAGGUGGGACAAAUGAUUGGGGUGAAGUCGUAACAAGGUAGCCGUAUCGGAAGGUGCGGCUGGAUCACCU
rnacentral:rRNA from 1 species